UACAGAGGGUGCAAGCGUUCAUCGGAAUUACUGGGCGUAAAGGGCGCUUAGGCGGCCUUCUAAGUCGAACGUGAAAUCCCCGGGCUCAACCCGGGAACUGCGUCCGAUACUGGAAGGCUUGAAUCCGGGAGAGGGAUGUGGAAUUCCAGGUGUAGCGGUGAAAUGCGUAGAUAUCUGGAGGAACACCGGUGGCGAAGGCGACAUCCUGGACCGGUAUUGACGCUGAGGCGCGAAAGCCAGGGGAGCAAACGGG
rnacentral:rRNA from 1 species